GUAGGUUGCGAGCGUUGUCCGGAUUUACUGGGCGUAAAGCGCACGCAGGCGGCUCCGAAAGCCCACGGUGAAAGCCCUCGGCCCAACCGAGGGAGGCCCGCGGGAACUUCGGGGCUUGAAGGCGGGAGAGGCAGAUGGAAUUUCCGGUGUAGCGGUAAAAUGCGUAGAUACCGGAAGGAACACCAGUGGCGAAAGCGAUCUGCUGGCCCGCUCUUGACGCUCAGGUGCGAAAGCUAGGGUAGCGACCGGGAUUAGAUACCCCGUUAGUCCUAGCCGUAAACGAUGGGCACUAGGUGUUGUCGGUAUCGACCCCGGCAGUGCCGUAGCUAACGCAUUAAGUGCCCCGCCUGGGGAGUACGGCCGCAAGGCUA
rnacentral:rRNA from 1 species